AGCCUACGGGGCGCAGCAGUGGGGAAUAUUGCACAAUGGGGGAAACCCUGAUGCAGCGACGCCGCGUGAGUGAAGAAGUAUUUCGGUAUGUAAAGCUCUAUCAGCAGGGAAGAUAAUGACGGUACCUGACUAAGAAGCCCCGGCUAACUACGUGCCAGCAGCCGCGGUAAUACGUAGGGGGCAAGCGUUAUCCGGAUUUACUGGGUGUAAAGGGAGCGUAGACGGCUGUACAAGUCUGAAGUGAAAGCCCGUGGCUCAACCGCGGAACUGCUUUGGAAACUGUAAAGCUGGAGUACUGGAGAGGG
rnacentral:rRNA from 1 species